GCAGUCGAGCGCGCCCUUCGGGGUGAGCGGCGGACGGGUUAGUAACGCGUGGGAAUAUGCCCAAUGGUACGGAAUAGCCUCUGGAAACGGAGAGUAAUACCGUAUGAGCCCUUCGGGGGAAAGAUUUAUCGCCAUUGGAUUAGCCCGCGUUAGAUUAGGUAGUUGGUGGGGUAAUGGCCUACCAAGCCUACGAUCUAUAGCUGGUUUUAGAGGAUGAUCAGCAACACUGGGACUGAGACACGGCCCAGACUCCUACGGGAGGCAGCAGUGGGGAAUCUUGGACAAUGGGGGCAACCCUGAUCCAGCCAUGCCGCGUGAGUGAUGAAGGCCUUAGGGUCGUAAAGCUCUUUCGCCUGUGAAGAUAAUGACGGUAGCAGGUAAAGAAACCCCGGCUAACUCCGUGCCAGCAGCCGCGGUAAUACGGAGGGGGUUAGCGUUGUUCGGAAUUACUGGGCGUAAAGCGCACGUAGGCGGAUCGGAAAGUUGGGGGUGAAAUCCCGGGGCUCAACCCCGGAACUGCCUCCAAAACUAUCGGUCUAGAGUUCGAGAGAGGUGAGUGGAAUUCCAAGUGUAGAGGUGAAAUUCGUAGAUAUUUGGAGGAACACCAGUGGCGAAGGCGGCUCACUGGCUCGAUACUGACGCUGAGGUGCGAAAGUGUGGGGAGCAAACAGGAUUAGAUACCCUGGUAGUCCACACCGUAAACGAUGAAUGCCAGUCGUCGGGUAGCAUGCUAUUCGGUGACACACCUAACGGAUUAAGCAUUCCGCCUGGGGAGUACGGUCGCAAGAUUAAAACUCAAAGGAAUUGACGGGGG
rnacentral:rRNA from 1 species